rnacentral:rRNA from 1 species
GACGAACGCUGGCGGCGUGCUUAACACAUGCAAGUCGAACGGAAAGGCCCUGCUUUUGUGGGGUGCUCGAGUGGCGAACGGGUGAGUAACACGUGAGUAACCUGCCCUUGACUUUGGGAUAACUUCAGGAAACUGGGGCUAAUACCGGAUAGGAGCUCCUGCUGCAUGGUGGGGGUUGGAAAGUUUCGGCGGUUGGGGAUGGACUCGCGGCUUAUCAGCUUGUUGGUGGGGUAGUGGCUUACCAAGGCUUUGACGGGUAGCCGGCCUGAGAGGGUGACCGGCCACAUUGGGACUGAGAUACGGCCGAGACUCCUACGGGAGGCAGCAGUGGGGAAUAUUGCACAAUGGGCGGAAGCCUGAUGCAGCAACGCCGCGUGCGGGAUGACGGCCUUCGGGUUGUAAGCCGCUUUCGCCUGUGACGAAGCGUGAGUGACGGUAAUGGGUAAAGAAGCACCGGCUAACUACGUG